AACCUUAUGGACCUGCGGGCGUAUACCUGCGGAGGGAUCAUUACCGAGUUUACAACUCCCAAACCCCUGUGAACAUACCACUUGUUGCCUCGGCGGAUCAGCCCGCUCCCGGUAAAACGGGACGGCCCGCCAGAGGACCCCUAAACUCUGUUUCUAUAUGUAACUUCUGAGUAAAACCAUAAAUAAAUCAAAACUUUCAACAACGGAUCU
rnacentral:misc_RNA from 1 species